GAUAAAGACACUGGAUUUCCUACCCAAGGAUAUCAACUGCCUUACCCAAGUCCUUAGGAAUAAACUUGAUCCAUUAACCCAGAAGGCAAAGGUAAGGAUGACUUCCAAACUUGAAAAAACAUCAUACCACUGAGUGAGUAAAGACCUAUCUAACUUCAAGAAUAUCCUGAAGUCUUUGGAUACAAAACAAGCAGAAAUGGUUGGUUGCCACGCUUACAUGAAAGGCUCCUAAAAGAAGCAGCGCCAUUAAGGUUUCAUCACCUCCAACUGACCACCAUGUAUUAUUAAGUAAAGACCAUACAACCCAA